rnacentral:tRNA from 1 species
GGGGGUGUAACUCAGUGGUAGAGCACUUGCCUGGCAUAUAGGAGGCCCUGGGUUCCAUCCUUAGGAUCCCCU